rnacentral:rRNA from 1 species
GACGUAGGGCGCGAGCGUUGUCCCGAUUUAUUGGGCGUAAAGAGCUCGUAGGCGGCUUGUCGCGUCGUCUGUGGAAUCCCGCGGCUCAACUGCGGGCUGGCAGUCGAUACGGGCAGGCUGGAGUUCGGUAGGGGAGACUGGAAUUCCUGGUGUAGCGGUGAAAUGCGCAGAUAUCAGGAGGAACACCGGUGGCGAAGGCGGGUCUCUGGGCCGAUACUGACGCUGAGGAGCGAAAGCGUGGGGAGCGAACAGG